ensembl:lncRNA
CAGAAAAGCGUCGCAGGUUAUUCAGCUGAAACAGUUGUCCUUUGAAAGUGAGCCUGUGGACAAAAGGACACAGCAUAUUGAUGUGUUAUUUUCUCUAACCUUACUCUGGGUCUCACAAAGCCCUGAGUUUUGACCUGAAUUAAUAGUGAAGUCGCUGGUGUUCAGUCGCUCCAUCAUGUCCGACUCUGCCACCCCGUGGACUGCAGUGUGCCAGACUUUCCUGUCCUUCACUGUCUCCUGGAACUUGCUCAGACUCCCAUGCAUUGAGUUGCUGAUGCCAUCCAACCAUCUCAUCCUCUGUCAUCCCCUUCCCUUCCUGUCUUCAGCCUUUCCCAGCAUCAGGGUCUUUAGUACACAAAGUAAAUUAUACAAAUUGAGACAUUUAUAUUAUGACUUCCCUAUCAUUUUAGAUUAAGUCUUUGCAUUCAAGCCUCAGACUUCUCAUUCUCUUUUAUCUUAAACUGCCAUUGAAGUCGUCUGUGUCCCAUUAGUUUUUCCCAUCUCACAGCAGAAACAACACUGGAAACAGAGCCACAGCCUGCAGCUGCCACCCCAGGCCCAGCUCUGUGCGGUCACCGGACUUCGGUUCUAGCCAGCAGUUCUUCAACAUCCUAGGGGCUCUUGGCUUCAGUGACAUAUGCCAAAUAGUCUCAAUUUAGUGGAGAACUUCAGUUCAGUUGCUCAGUCAUGUCCGACUCUUUGCGACUCCAGGGACUGCAGCACACCAGGCUUCCGUCUCCAUUGCCAACUCCUGGAGCUUGCUCAAACUCAUGCCCGCUGAGUCAGUGAUGCCGUCCAACCAUCCCAUCCUCUGUUGCCCAUUUCUCCUCCUGGCAGCAGUCUUUUGCAGCAUCAGGGUUUUUUCCAGUGAGUCAGUUCUUCACGUCAGGUGGAGAUACGUCACAAAGUAGUGGAGCUUCAGCCUCAGUCCUUCCAAUGAACAGCCAAGACUGAUAUCCUUUAGGAUGGACUGGUUGGAUCUCCUUGCAGUCCAAGGGACUUCCGGGAGUCUGCUCUAACACCACAGUUGAAAAGCAUCAAUUCUUCGGCUCUCAGCUUUCUUUAUAGUCCAACUCUCACAUCCAUACAUGACUACUGGAAAAACCAUAGCUUUGACUAGAUGGACCUUUGUUGGCAAGUCAUGUCUGCUUUAUAAUAUGCUGUCUAGGUUGGUCAUAGCUUUUCUUCCAAGGAGCAAGUGUCUUUUAAUUUCAUGUCUGCAAUCACCAUCUACAGUGAUUUUUGAAGCCCAGGAAAAUAAAGUCUGUCACUGUUGCCAUUGUUUCCCCAUCUAUUUGCCAUGAAGUGAUAGGACCAGGUGCUGUAAUCUUAGUUGCUUGAAUGUUGAGUUUUAAUCCAGCUUUCUUCACUCUCCUCUUUCACUUUCAUCAAGAAGCUCUUUAGUUCCUCUUCACUUUCUGCCAUAAGGGUGGUGUCAUCUGCAUAUCUGAGGUUACUGAUAUUUCUCCCAGCCAUCUUGAUUCCAGUUGUGCUUCAUCCAGUCCAGCAUUUUGCAUGAUGUACUCUGCAUGUAAGUUAAACAAGCAGAGUGACAAUAUACAGCCUUGACAUACAGAUUUCUCAGGAGGCAGGUCAGGUGGUCUGGUAUUCCCAUCUUUUGAAGAAUUUUCCACAGUUUCUUGUAAUUCACAUAGUCAAGGCUUUGGCGUAGUCAGUAAAGCAGAAGUAGUUGUUUUUCUGGAAUUCUGUUGCUUUUUCUAUGAUCCAGUGGAUUUCGGCAAUUUUAUUUCUGGUUCCUCUACCUUUUCUAAAUCCACCUUGAACAUCUGGUACAGUCUCCCAUUUUACAAAUGUAAAAUGUAAACACAGGUUAUACACUCAUUUUUUUCCAAAGUCUGGCGAUAGCAAAAAUAUAAAAAUGCCUAAGUUUAUUUACAGUGCUAUAAUAUAUAUUAUGCUUCCCUGGUGGUGCAGAUUCUUUACCACUUCACCCACUCUUCUAAAUUACAUGCUAUUCUACUUUUUCAGACCUAAGUUCUAUUUUCUAGUUUUUCAAAAACCCCCCAAAUUGCACAGUCCUCUGCAGCAAGACCUUUAUCAUGGAUUAAGGGCUCACCAUGAUAUUCUGGAGCUUCAUCAUGAGCCAUCCUGAUAUAUAUUUCAUUUUUUUUUAAUCCUGCAUAAGAUUGACUGGACUAAAUGAAUCCAUAGUGGAAAGUGCUGAGCUCCUAGUACUUUUAUAAGUAUGGGUCUGUCUCAGUUUCUUUUCUCAUUCUAGAGUUAUAAAUAAGCGUAUACUACUUUAUUGCCCUGUGUAUCUUAUCUGUGUGUCUUCUCAUAUAUUUUUUACCUGUUUCUGUGCAAUCUUCCAGAAAAUUUCUGACUUAUCUUUGAGUUCAUCAAAUCUCUUCAGCUGUGUCUAAUCCACUUUUAAACCCAUUCACUGGGUUUCUGAUUUCACUUAUUUUUCAUUUCUAAAAGUUCCAUUUGGCUCUUAGUUUAAUAAUCUGUGUCAUUUUUCAUUCCUUGUUCUUUACUUUUUAUUUUCUGCUCUAUCAGUAAUGGAGAGAGGAGUGUGGAGAUCGCCAUCGUGACGUGUCCAUUUCUCCUUGUUGUUCAGUCGCUCAGUCGUGGCUGACUCUUUGCAGCCCCGUGGACUGCAGCACUCGGCGUCCCUGUCCUUCACUGUUUCCCGGAGCUUGCUCAAACCCAUGUCCAUCGAGUUGGUGAUGCCAUCCAACCAUCUCAUCCUCUGUCAUCCCCUUCUCCUCCUGCCUUCAGUCUUUCCCAGCAUCAGGGUCUUUCCCAGUGAGUCGACUCUUCUCAUCACGCGGCCAGAGUAUUGUAGCUUCAGCUUCAGCAUCAGUCCUUUCCAUGAAUAUUCAAGGUUGAUUUCCUUUGCUUCUCAGCUGUGGAAGCUAUAUCUUCCUGGCGAUAGAUGUUAUUUCUAUCAUUAAUAAUACUCUUUAAAGUCUUAUUUUGUCUGACGUAAUAUAGCUCUCCUUAGCUUUCUUUUAGACAGUGUUUUCCUGCUCUUUUCUUUUUAUCAUUUUACUGUCAAUCUUUCCGUGAUCUUCUGUUUGAUUUUCCUCUUGUAUAUGGCAUGUAAUAUAUGUGUGAAUUUUUAAAUUCUGGUCUUAUAAGUCUCUGUCACCAUACACAUUACUGAUGACAUCAGUCAUGUCCCCACCAAGUAAUCCAACAAGCCUACAAUAACUGUAAUACCAGAGAGUAAUUUAGUAUUGAAUAUUUCCCAGAUCAUGUGAAUCUGAAAUUCAUUUUAAUCCGUUUCCUUUGUAUUUCCAAGAAUUUAUGUAAGCACUAGUUUCAUUGCAGCAUAUGUACUCUUAAUUGCAG